UACGGAGGGGGCUAGCGUUGUUCGGAAUUACUGGGCGUAAAGCGCGCGUAGGCGGCUUUGUAAGUUAGAGGUGAAAGCCCGGAGCUCAACUCCGGGACUGCCUUGGAUACGGGAUCGCUUGAGGAUUGGAGAGGCAAGGGGAAUUCCACGUGUAGCGGUGAAAUGCGUAGAUAUGUGGAGGAACACCUGUGGCGAAGGCGCCUUGCUGGCCAAUUUCUGACGCUGAGGCGCGAAAGCGUGGGGAGCAAACAGG
rnacentral:rRNA from 1 species